rnacentral:rRNA from 1 species
UACGUAGGUGGCAAGCGUUGUCCGGAAUUAUUGGGCGUAAAGCGCGCGCAGGUGGUUUCUUAAGUCUGAUGUGAAAGCCCACGGCUCAACCGUGGAGGGUCAUUGGAAACUGGUAGACUUGAGUGCAGAAGAGGAUAGUGGAAUUCCAAGUGUAGCGGUGAAAUGCGUAGAGAUUUGGAGGAACACCAGUGGCGAAGGCGACUAUCUGGUCUGUAACUGACACUGAGGCGCGAAAGCGUGGGGAGCAAACAGG